rnacentral:rRNA from 1 species
CGUUGUCCGGAUUCAUUGGGCGUAAAGCGCGUGUAGGCGGCCAGGUAGGUCCGAUGUGAAAUCUGGAGGCUCAACCUCCAGCGGUCAUUGGAAACCAUCUGGCUAGAGUCCGGAAGAGGAGAGUGGAAUUCCUGGUGUAGCGGUGAAAUGCGCAGAUAUCAGGAAGAACACCAAUGGCGAAGGCAGCUCUCUGGGACGGUACUGACGCUGAGACGCGAAAGCGUGGGGAGCGAACAGG